GUCAACAAUAGAAAAAUUAACACAGGAGAUUGUAAUAUAUAUUAAUCCUCAUUUUUUGUAAAAGAGCCAUUAAUUCUAUUGAUUCUUCUUCCUUCUUUGAUUUAUCAUCUUCUUCUUUGCUUGAGAAGCUAUAGCUAGGCCAUGGCUCAACUCAGCGCAGUUCGAACGGCCGUAGGGAUCGUGGGAAAUCUUAUAUCACUGGGGCUCUUCAUGUCACCGGUGCCAACAUUUGUGUCCAAUAUGCAAAGAAGAAGG